rnacentral:rRNA from 1 species
UACGUAGGGUGCGAGCGUUAAUCGGAAUUACUGGGCGUAAAGGGUGCGCAGGCGGUCUCGUAAGCUGGGUGUGAAAGCCCCGGGCUUAACCUGGGAAUGGCAUUCAGGACUGCGAGGCUUUGAGUGUGGCAGAGGGAGGUGGAAUUCCACGUGUAGCAGUGAAAUGCGUAGAGAUCAUGAGGAAGACCAGUGGCGAAGGCGGGUCUCUGGGCCGAUACUGACGCUGAGGAGCGAAAGCGUGGGGAGCGAACAGG